UACAGAGGGUGCAAGCGUUGCUCGGAAUCACUGGGCGUAAAGCGCACGUAGGCGGGUCGUUAAGUCAGGGGUGAAAUCCUGGAGCUCAACUCCAGAACUGCCCUUGAUACUGGCGAUCUCGAGUUCGGGAGAGGUGAGUGGAACUGCGAGUGUAGAGGUGAAAUUCGUAGAUAUUCGCAAGAACACCAGUGGCGAAGGCGGCUCACUGGCCCGAUACUGACGCUGAGGUGCGAAAGCGUGGGGAGCAAACAGG
rnacentral:rRNA from 1 species